GACAGCACAAGCCAUGAGAGAAAGUCAGUAAGUAGCAGCACUCCUCAUGGCCUCUGCAUCAGCUCCUGCUGCCAGGUUCCUGCCCAGCUUGCGUUCCUGUCCUGACUUCCUUUGAGGAUGAACAGAAGGGGAAGCAUAAGGCAAGUAAACCCUUUCCUCCCAAAGUUGCUUCUGGCCGUCGUGCUUCUUCAGGUCAGUGAUAACCCUAAGAGAGAAAUUGGCACCAGAAUCGUGGAGUUUCCCUGUGACAGACCUGACUGUGUCGUUUCGGGAAGGACUGCGGAAGGACUUUGUAAAUUUGUGCUAGAGAAGUCUUUAAGUGUUCAAAGCUUGACGGACUGUUCUGUGGGAGGGUUGGAAGACAAUGCCAAGAGCCGUCCAGAUGAUGGAGGCCCGGCUUGUGAAGUUCAGAGAGACGAUGAAGACUGUAUUCCGGCCCUUUGCUCUUCUGAAUUUAAGACUCUACGGUUCUGGUCAGCUGGGGCUGAAGAGUCAGCCAUGACCAACCAGAGAGCAGCACCCCUGAAGCCAAACAACUGCUUUACCAGGACUAUCGGUGUUGGAUAGUUGGAGCCGAGAAAUUGGUGGUGAUAAAGAAGAAACCAGCUUCACCGAUGUGAAAUCUUUCGCAAGGUGUUUCCUCGGGAUCAGUACACAAAAGCUGUGUUGUACAGGUGGCCAAGGUUGUACCUUGUGCUAGCAGCUGAACUUGGUCACGUGAAAGAGUCUCCCAGGUGGUGUCGGUUCUGGAGGCAUGAAAGGGGUCAUGGAGAGCAGAUGGAGCUCCACACUUGGAGAGGCCAGGAGAGGCCUUUGGUGAAAGCGCAGCCCAGUUGCAGCAGAAGACCCCAGAACUUUAGAGAUGCCAAUACCUUGGGAUAACAGCAGCCCUAGAGUGGGGUCCUGCCUGAGUCUAGAUGACGAGCUGGUGCGCUGCAGAGGGCGGAGCCGGGAAGGGACCCAGGCCCUUUGAAGAAACCUGGAAGAUGGUGCAGAAGUUCUGGAAGCUUACAUAGACCAUCACCUCAAAAGGACAUGACAGCACUGGUCUCUGAAGGCAGUAGUCAAGUGCCAUCUUGAAUUGAGACUCAUCAAGGCUCAGCUGCUCUUGGAACAUGACACCAAGGACUAACAACGAGUCAUCAAGAGAUCAGCCGCCAUAACCACUGACAGUUGAGCCAUCAGGGAAAAUUAAUGGAUACAGGGAGGGUCACCAUGAACAUUCAGAGCACAGAAGCCUUGGAUUGAACAAUUAAAGUCAGUGUAUUUGGUAGACCCAUGAUCUGUGGGCAAGAUCCAACCACACGAUAGCCUUAGGAUAAGUGACCCAUCAGACUAGCUGUGAUAUUGAAGCCAAAUGGUGGUCCAAACUCUGGAAUAUGUGGUGUGUACCAUACACUCUACUGUUGGCAGAAUUUGAGAACCCUCAAGUUCCCAGCAACCAUUUGGUUUCUGUAGCAAAAUUGUUUUCAUGGAUAUUAAUGCUGGGAAGACUUUUACCACGUGGUACAAGAACUGUAUAGGACAUCAGGAUUCUGCUUAACUCACCAAUGCCCUCGGGAUAUACCACUUCCCUUUACUACUGGUUACCUGCACGUGUAUGAAGUUAAGGAGUCACUGAAACGGGAUAUAUGACAGAUUCAAAGGAAACUAGGCCUGGGUGGGAGGGGCUAGGAAGAUUCCUGGUAUGCAAUGACAGGAAUCUAAGAAGGGAAGAUUGCUCUGGCAAAUACCGGAUACCGGAUUAGUCUGAGUUCUAGACCAGCAGAAAUUUGUUUUGUUUCUACUCUCUCAGUGAUAGAGGACUAAGCCCUUAUGUGUAGCCUGCCCAGGAAGACCCUUAAUUAAACUGGAUGGCAUGUCAUUCCAAACUGACAGGCAUGUGAAUCAAAGCAGAGAAGCCAAACUGAGAAACAUGAAUAAUCAGGAGAACACAGUGCUCUGGGAGAUUGGACAUCUCAGAUCCUGAGCUAAAAGCGCUGAAAGGGGUUUGAUCCCCAGACAAGGGGUUUGUUUUUACUUUUAGAAAUGUUCAAUGAUUUCAAUUAGGAUAAAAUAAAUGAAGAGAAGAAAUCAAUUUAAUACUUACCUAUGGAACAGGAAUUUAGUUGUGUGGGUGGGAAAUGAAGCAAUGAAAAUGAACUAUUGACAAAAAUGUUGAAUAAGACAACCAAUCAAGGAAAAGGUGAGGGGGUCUUACAAGAUGGCUCAGAGAGUCAAAGCACCUGCUUCAUAAGCCCAGUGCCCUUAAUUCUAUCUCUAGAAUCCACGUAAAGGUGGAAAAAAGAUAACCAAUUAUUCAAAGUUGUCCUCAGGCAUUCACUAUGGAAGGUGUACUCCCCUUUACCAACAGAUAGUAUGAAACAAAAGAAAGAAUAUCUGGAAGGUUGAAGAAAUGCUGUUUUGUGACUGUAAUAUCUUAAAAUAUAAAUGUGCAUGGCUACUGCCCUUAUGAACUCUAGGACAUGAUCAAGAAAAGAAACUGCACAGCCAUUAGGCAGAAGAACUGGAAAUAAGCACAGAGGGUUCAUGCGAUGAUUUGUCUUGAUUGACCAAUUGAUGGACUUUAGAAUCACCAUGGAACAAAUCUUUGGGCAUAUCUGUGAAGGAUUACCUAUAUUAGGUUAGUUAAGGUGGGGAGAUACAUCCUGAACAUGGGAAGCAUCAUUCCAUGAGUUGGAGUCUCAGACUACGUAGAAGGCAGAAUGGGAUCUGGGAACGCACAUUCAUCUCUCGGAUUUCUGACUGAAGAUGCAAUGCUACCAGAUGGUUCAAGUUCCCACUGCCAUGACUUGCAUUGUGAUGAACUGUACCCUCAAGCUGUGGGCUAAAAUAAACAUUCCCUUUCUUAA